GUGGCGAACGGGUGAGUAACACGUGAGCAACCUGCCCCAGACUCUGGGAUAACCCCGGGAAACCGGAGCUAAUACCGGAUAUGACACCAACGGGCAUCCGUAUGGUGUGGAAAGUUUUUCGGUCUGGGAUGGGCUCGCGGCCUAUCAGCUUGUUGGUGAGGUAGUGGCUCACCAAGGCGACGACGGGUAGCCGGCCUGAGAGGGCGACCGGCCACACUGGGACUGAGACACGGCCCAGACUCCUACGGGAGGCAGCAGUGGGGAAUAUUGCACAAUGGGCGAAAGCCUGAUGCAGCGACGCCGCGUGAGGGAUGACGGCCUUCGGGUUGUAAACCUCUUUCAGCAGGGAAGAAGCGAAAGUGACGGUACCUGCAGAAGAAGCACCGGCUAACUACGUGCCAGCAGCCGCGGUAAUACGUAGGGUGCGAGCGUUGUCCGGAAUUAUUGGGCGUAAAGAGCUUGUAGGCGGUUUGUCGCGUCUGCUGUGAAAAUCCGGGGCUCAACCCCGGACUUGCAGUGGGUACGGGCAGGCUAGAGUGUGGUAGGGGAGACUGGAAUUCCUGGUGUAGCGGUGGAAUGCGCAGAUAUCAGGAGGAACACCGAUGGCGAAGGCAGGUCUCUGGGCCACUACUGACGCUGAGAAGCGAAAGCAUGGGGAGCGAACAGGAUUAGAUACCCUGGUAGUCCAUGCCGUAAACGUUGGGCGCUAGGUGUGGGACCCAUUCCACGGGUUCCGUGCCGCAGCUAACGCA
rnacentral:rRNA from 1 species